GUUGGCUUUGCCUUGUGAAGUAUAUGGUUGAAAAUUGCAUCACACAUAAAGUCCAAGUAAGCCUCCACCUGUGUAGUUUAUCAGCAAUUUCUAUGGUAUUAAUUUCUUAAAGCAUCUAAGUCCAACAUCUAUAGGAGAAAGCAAUCCUGAAGAAUCCUCCGGGGGAGGCUUGGUUGAUUUGAAACACCCUCACCCAUGUUGUAAGGCUAUUCAGUAAGCCCUCCAGGAUUCUAAACUUGGUACCUGGCAAAAAUAAGCAUCCCCACAGCUUUCUGCACUAUUCAGUCUUGUUUUGCAUUGCUCUCAACAGACUAUGUGUUUGUUUUUCCUCUCUGGCUUUGCUGACUUUUGGAGACUGUCCUGGGUAAUAGGCCUGACUGGCUCUAAGGUCCAGUUUACAUCUCACACUUGGCAGCAGCUCCAUACCCAGGCCUGCCCAGGCUGGGACCACUCACCGUGUUCUCAGGUUGUCAGCUUCGUACAACUGCAGAGGACAAGAGGCUGGCUGCUCCAAGGUAAAUAUUAAGGAAACUGGAUGCAGAUGGUAUAAAGCACAGGGCAGUGUGAGGCACAGGCUCAGAGAGAUACCUGGACCAGAUAAAUCCCUGAGAAUUAAAACAGACAAGGAUGUUCACCAAUUAUGGCAAUCAUGCACAGAACAGUGCCUGAAUGAGGUGUCUUCCUGUGGGGGUCACAGACGACUACACUGCAGUUAACCCCAGUGAGGACAGCAGGAGAACUGGCUGUGGAUCCACACACAGAUCUGUGUAAUUAUAAUCAUGUUGCAUUUAUUCAUCUAUUUUGCUUACCAUGUAAUAUAUUACAAAUGCUCUCUAUGUUUAUCUUUUAGGAAUGGCUAAAUGAAGUCACAGAGGGUUCCAUGCUUAGAAGGUCCCCUGCCUUAAUGCUCUGUAGUUACCAUCUCAAAAUUCUUAAUAAUUUUGAACAAAGUACACAAUAUUUUCAUUUGGUAGUGGCACCUGCAAAUUAUAUAGCUGGUUCUAAUUUCUACUUUAUUUUGUUUUUAUUUUUAGGACUAUGUUAUUUUAUAAUUUAUGUUAUGCUCAAACAUUCAAGCUGUACUCUUGUAUGGAUAGUCUUGCAAGAAGAUAUCUAAAUUUAAUUUUAGUAGGUUAGUUAUUCAGGAUAAAUUCUAGGCAUGAUCAGUGUGUGUGUGUGUGUGUGUGUGUGUAUUUGUGUCACAUGUUGCCUUCUGAUGUAACACCUCAUUCCUUCAUAUUAUUUGUUGAAAUAACACUAUGCAUCUCACUUCUUUUGAGCCAAGAGGAUGAUCACUCAGCUUUAGAUCUCUUGAAGAGAGCCAUCACCUUGUCUGCCUGCUCAUCAGCCCUGGGAUAAGGGACAUGUAUAGGAGAUGCCAUGUGUGCUGCUCACUGUGCCUCCUGGGAAGGAGGGUGGUGGUUACCGUCACCUGGGAGAGAACCCUUCUGGACUCAGCCUUUUCUGAAAAUGGAGGGUCAACUGAACAAUUAUUUGGUGUGGAUUAAGAAAAACAUUAUAGUAACCUAAUGCCUGGAAUAAUAAUGCCUGGAAUGCUGUAGAUGCAAAAUUCAUGCUAGUUUUUCAUUUACCCUUAAAAUCAAUUUUUCCACUUAUUUGCUUCAGUACUCAACAAAGCAAAGACUAAAGAGACUCAAGCUCCUCCUCUCAUUUUGAGUUUUUCUGAAUUUACAUAGACACAUGUUAUAAAAAUUGGCUCUGUCUCCUUUUAUUUGAUAUUCUUUGUAGUUUGGUCACAUUUUUCUGCUUUUGACCCUUUUUCUGAACCCUCUACAUCUGUUUCAAUGAUGAGAUUGCUUACUCAUAAUUUAUAAUGUAAAGAAAUGUAUAGGGGCUUAAAUAAAACUAUAUGGGAAGAUUUUAUAUAUAUAUAUAUAUAUAUAUAUAUAUAUAUAUAUAUAUACACACACACACACAACACACACACACCCCUACACACACACACCCCUACACACACACACCCCUACACACACACACACACACACUCAAAGUAAGGCUAAUAAAAAACAUUAAAAUGACAAUGAAAUCAAUAUACUAAAUUCAUAUGCCAAUAGUAUCAGUAUUAUUCUAAUUGAACAUUUACUCAGAACAAAGGCCAAAAGACAGAUACAUGAUCAUACAGUUGGAUCAAAUAUAUUUGGAAAAAAGUACUUGUAACUCAUUGCAUCUGUGUUGAACAUGUACCGUCUUUUUCUCAUGUCAUUAUUUUCUAAAUAUUAUAAUAGCUAGUUACACAGCACUUACUUGUAUUAGGUAUUAUAAUCAUUUAGAGAUUAUUUCAGUUAUUCAGGAAGAUGUCCAUAAGUUAUAUGUAACUCCAUUUUACAUACAUUAUAUGUAACCCCAUAAGUUAUAUACUACCCCAUUUUAUAUAAGGACUUGAGUGCCUGUUGAUUUUGGUAUCUUAGAGGUUCUAAAACCAAUAUGAAACCUGCAGAUACCAAAGAAUGACUAUAUAAUUCCUCUGCUGACAAAACAAAGCACUCUUUUAGCAAAAAAUCUUCCUAAUAAAUUCUCUAAUAAAUUUGUCACAUGGAUGAAAAUACUGUCUACCUUACUUCAUAGAAAGUAGUCAAUAAAUAAAAUGAAUAAGGAAUUUUGUAUAUUUUUGCUUCUAAAAGUAAGCGUAGAAACAGCAACAGUGUAAUAACUUGUUGCUAAUAUUUGUGAGAACUGAACUAGGUGCUGUGCAAAAAAAUUUUAGCUCAUUUAUUCCACACAAACACUCCAUAGGGUAUGAGUACCAUGCCCACUGGGGCAUGCAGACAAGUUGUGCCUUAAGGGCCACAGUCAUAAGUGGAAAGCCAGGGCUUGCCAAUCUGCAGUCUCAUAGUAUCCUGCCAUAUUGGGUACAUCAUGCUGCAGGGUCCCUGCACAGGUAGAGAGUUUGCCACCUUCACAGAAACUUUCACAAUUGAGUAAAAUUGGCGGAACACCCUGGAUGCUCAUCUAUAAAUGAAUGUGAUUAUUCCCGUUCCCUGCUGUUGGAAUUGUCUUUCCAGAGGGCCAUUUGGCAAGUCUUGUAUACGAUGUCCUCAACUUGUCCAUCCCCUUUGGCCCAGUAUUAAACUUCAAGGAAUAUGGUAUCAGGAAAUUACACCUAUGUAUACACAAGAUUCAUAGACACAAAUUGGAUAUAUUUGAAAUAUUCUACAGUAGAGAAGUAGUUGCAAACACUAUAAUGAAACCAAUGAAGUGGAAUCAUAUGCCUCUAUGAGUUUUUUUUACAGGACCUAUAAAUACACUGAUAAAUGUUCACAGUAUUUUGUGAGGUGGGAGAAAAUGUAGCCUCAAGAUACCUAUAUUGUGGUUUAAUAGAUAAAAAAAGAUACCCAGUGCUUUAAUAGAUAAAAUCGUUAGAUAGUAUAUAUUAAAAUGUAAAGUCCUAUGGUCCAGUAGUUUUUCUCCAUAUUAUCACCCAUAGGCCGUAAUCACAUGAAUAUAAAAAGUUAAGUAUGCAGAUGUUAAUUGCCAUCUUAUCUUUUAAUAAUGAAAAUUGGAAAUCACAUUAUAUUUAUCAAGAAUGAAAGAGUUAUAUACAUGGAAGUAUUUAAAUACAUGGAAGUUCCUGACUGUGGAAUGCUAUGCAAAAGUUAGAAGGAAUGGGAUACAGGCAUGAAAAUAGCAAAAUAUUUUCUAGCAGAGUAUAAAUUAUUUGUUUCUGUUUUUGUCUUAAGAUGAGUCUUGUUGAAUUGCCCAGGCUGGCUUGGAACUUAUGAGCUCUUGCCUCAGCCACCUGAGUAACUGGGAUUACAGGUGAGCACCUUGGCCCUUGGCUUGGUUACGUUAUUUUGCUAAUUCAGUACAAUUUACUGCUAUGUUUAUAUGAAUAUGCAUGUUGAAAAGGUUUAGAUUUUCUCUAGAAGAAGAAUGACUGAUGAUAAUGGUUACUUAGUCUGAGAUAAUAAAUAGGAGAUAUGCUAUUUAUAUAUGCAAAAUUUGUUUUAGCUAUAGUUUUGGAUCAUUUGCAAGAAAAAUACAAUAAUCUGUUACUUAUGUAAUUUAAAUUCACUGUUCAUACACUGAGUGUGAAAGAAAAACAAAACUAAGUAUACAAAAAUGUUGAGUGCUGUCUUAGUAUUUGAUUUUGCUUUGACUAUUGUCCACGUUAAGGUCACUAAAUUGCUAAUUUUAAUUCUAGUUCUAAGUCUGAAAAUGCCAUACUUUAUAAGACUUGUAUAGGAUAAAUGUCCAUAAAUAAUUUUUGACAGAGCUGGCUGUUUGUCUAAAUUAGCAUAUUCCAAUGUCAUACUGCCAUCUUCUUCCUUUACUUAAUUUUCUUCUUAAUAUUACUGUAUAACAUUUGACAUGUAUGUUUAUUUGUGUGUGGUUGGUCUCUCCUUGAUAGAACAUAAGCUCCCCUAGGCGGGCCCUUGCUAUUUGAUUUAUUGCUAUUUGUUUUCUGUGGUGCAUAGCAUAGGGCCCUAUACAAAGAAGGCACUAAAUAAUUAAAUAAAUAGUUGUUUUUGCACAUAUAUGCCCAGGGAAGGGCCUGACAUGAUUUACAAUCACUAAAACACUAAUAGUGUUUUUCCUAGUGGUAGGGUUAUGGUGGAUUUUUAUUUACAUGAAAUGAGCUCUGUUUAAAAAAAUGUUUUCUAAAUGUGGGGGCUGGGAAACUGAUCUAAAAUAACUGCUCCUUGUAUAAAGUCUGUUUAUCUUGUGGCCUCCAAGGAAAUUUGGGUUAUUGACAUAGCCUUCCUUUUAUAGUGAGUAGAUGAUUCUGUAAAUUGACGUGCACUUUUUUUUUUAGGUGACCACGUGGCCUCAAGCAUUACCUUAAGAAUCAAUGAUUAAAAAAAAAAAUCAAUUAUAAUUUUGCCUACACCACAUCAUGUGGCAGAAACUGGGUAUGUUGUAAUUAAGACACAGAAAGUCUGCAAUUUUUCUUUGUAAUAUGAUUUGUAUUGUGAAGCAGGGACAAAAGGAACUCAGUUUCAACUUUGUAUGAAGAGCUCUUUAUGAGGAAGCUUCGUGGGGAUUGUCUCUGUUUGCCUCUAUGUCUUUGCCUCGGAAACUGCAGGGGAUAAAUCAGAGAUGAGCUUCGAGGAACUGACUUCUUAGCAGUUCAAGGAACCCAUAGCAGGCUUGUUAACACUGUGAGGCCUGAGGACAAAAUUGGCUUGAGGAAGUGAACUCUGCCUUGAGUCUCCUCUGUUCAGCUGGUCUUGGCUGUGAACCUUCUGUAUGCCCACCCAGGACUACAAGCUGGGGGGCUGUGUCAGGGAUGUGUUACAUGGCUGUGCCUGUCACAUGCUGGCCCACCUCUACUGAGAAGCCACAAUGCAUGUGAGGUCUUCUUUCUGUUGAUAACGGAGUACCUCUCAUAUCUUCGGGGUCUGUAAUUCCUCUUUAAAUAUGCAGUGGAAUUGUUUGUUGCUAUUGUUAGAAAUGUAAAUGAAAAUUUCCUGAAAGAUUUAGUUAAAGGACUUCAAUGUUUAUUAAGGAAAUGUCUUGUCCCUUUCCCUAAAAUUAUAAUUUUUAAAUUAGAAAAAUGUCUUAAAGUAGAGAAAAACCUAUAUACCAAUAAACUGUUAUUUGAACCCUUAUGUGCCAAACACUGGGUAUAUCCACAUGAGAAAGCACUAUUCCCAUUUCACAGAUAAAGAAAGGGAAGGUCAAAAAACAUGACUGACUGACUUACCUAGACAUUUACUGGCUUACAGAGACUGAACUCCUGGCUGUCUAUUUGCAGCCAAGAGUAGUUACUGAGAUAGAGAGUACUGGCGUGAGAUGCAGGUGAGUUAACAGAACCUUCAGCAAAGGUAUUAAAGCUAAGAAUCUAG
rnacentral:lncRNA from 1 species